rnacentral:rRNA from 1 species
CUCUGGUGUUCCUGUUGUUCUGCCAAGAGCAUUGCAGGGUAGCUACGUUUGGAAUGGAUAACCGCUGAAGGCAUCUAAGCGGGAAGCCAGCCUCGAGAUUAAUUCUCCCGGAGCUUUAUGCUCCCUAAAGGGCCGUGGUAGACUACCACGUUGAUAGGCUGGGUGUGGAAGUGUAGCAAUACAUGGAGCUGACCAGUACUAAUUGCCCGUGAGGCUUAACCAU